rnacentral:lncRNA from 1 species
UAGCAUUAUUUCGUUGUUUUACAAGGACUUCAAAGCAAUCUCAGUCUCAAGGCUUGGAUGUAUGCAUAUUUCACAAUACCGCAUAAAUGAGCUGUUCCAUAGGAUGAUGAUCAUGACACUAGGGCGGACCUGUGCCUUAGAGACUAAAAAUGAAGAUAGAAUAGUUUAAUUAUGUCACGAACUCUUUGUUUUCCUGUUUAAAACAAUGUAUUACGCUUGUUUAAUAAAUAAAAUGUAACUUUGAUU